rnacentral:rRNA from 1 species
UACAGAGGUCUCAAGCGUUGUUCGGAUUCAUUGGGCGUAAAGGGCGCGUAGGCGGCCAGCACAAGUCAGUUGUGAAAUCUCCGAGCUUAACUCGGAAAGGUCAACUGAUACUGUGCGGCUAGAGUGCGGAAGGGGCAACUGGAAUUCUUGGUGUGAGCGGUGAAAUGCGUAGAUAUCGAGAGGAACACCUGCGGCGAAGGCGGGU